CAGCAGCCGCGGGAAUACGUAGGGUGCGAGCGUUAAUCGGAAUUACUGGGCGUAAAGCGUGCGCAGGCGGUUGUGUAAGACAGGUGUGAAAUCCCCGGGCUUAACCUGGGAACUGCGCUUGUGACUGCACAGCUAGAGUAUGGCAGAGGGGGGUGGAAUUCCACGUGUAGCAGUGAAAUGCGUAGAGAUGUGGAGGAACACCGAUGGCGAAGGCAGCCCCCUGGGCCAAUACUGACGCUCAUGCACGAAAGCGUGGGGAGCGAACAGGAUUAGAUACCCGAGUAGUCCCUGUCUCUUAUAC
rnacentral:rRNA from 1 species